ensembl:lncRNA novel transcript
AGAGAGGGAGGGGGAGAGGGCUAUUUUUAAAAUUUUUUAAAAUUGCUGAACAGGGGUACCUCUGGGCAGUGUGUCAGAAUACCACUUUUUAAAUAUUUUAUGAUUUAUUUAUUUUUCUAUUUCUUGAGGUUUUAACUGAUGUGUAUCUGUAUGUCUAUUUGUGUAUAUUUUGUCAUGAUCAUGUAACAGAGUCUGAAAAGUGUCGAAGAGACAGUUUUCAGGAACAACAAGCAAUUAUUCCUACUUUCCAAGUUAUUUUGAUGCCAUGGUGGCUCAUACCUAUAAUCUGAGUACUUUGGGAGGCUGAGUGAGUGGAUCCCCUGAGCCCAGAGAGGUCAAGGUUGUGAUGAGCUGUGAUCACACCACUGCACUUCAGCAUGGGAGACAGAGUGAGACCCUGUUUCAGAAAAAAUAAAUAAAUAAAACCACCAGCACCACAAACAAC